rnacentral:rRNA from 1 species
CAGAGACUGCAAGCGUUAUUCGGAUUCACUGGGCGUAAAGGGUGCGCAGGCGGCCAUGUGUGUUGGGCGUGAAAGCCCGGGGCUUAACCCCGGAAUUGCACCCAAAACUACAUGGCUAGAGCAUUGGAGAGGGUAGCAGAAUUCAUGGUGUAGCAGUGAAAUGCGUAGAUAUCAUGAGGAAUACCAGAGGCGAAGGCGGCUACCUGGACAAUUGCUGACGCUCAGGCACGAAAGCGUGGGGAGCAAAAGGGAUUAGAUACCCCUGUAGUCCACGCCCUAAACGGUGCACACUAGGUCUUGGCGGAUUCAACCCCCCCAGGGCCCAAGCUAACGCGUUAAGUGUGCCGCCUGAGGACUACGGCCGCAAGGCUA